CUGAGCUUGAUUAGAGUUUGAUCAUGGCUCAGAUUGAACGCUGGCGGCAGGCCUAACACAUGCAAGUCGAGCGGAAACGAUGGAAGCUUGCUUCCAGGCGUCGAGCGGCGGACGGGUGAGUAAUGCAUGGGAAUCUGCCCGAUAGUGGGGGAUAACCUGGGGAAACCCAGGCUAAUACCGCAUACGUCCUACGGGAGAAAGCAGGGGAUCUUCGGACCUUGCGCUAUCGGAUGAGCCCAUGUCGGAUUAGCUUGUUGGUGAGGUAAUGGCUCACCAAGGCGACGAUCCGUAGCUGGUCUGAGAGGAUGAUCAGCCACAUCGGGACUGAGACACGGCCCGAACUCCUACGGGAGGCAGCAGUGGGGAAUAUUGGACAAUGGGCGAAAGCCUGAUCCAGCCAUGCCGCGUGUGUGAAGAAGGCCCUCGGGUUGUAAAGCACUUUCAGUGGGGAAGAAAGCCUUGGGAUUAAUACUCCCGAGGAAGGACAUCACCCACGAGAGCCCG
rnacentral:rRNA from 1 species